UACAGAGGGUGCGAGCGUUAAUCGGAAUUACUGGGCGUAAAGCGUGCGUAGACGGUUAUUUAAGUCGGGUGUGAAAUCCCCGGGCUCAACCUGGGAACUGCAUUUGUGACUGCAAGGCUAGAGUACGGUAGAGGGGGAUGGAAUUCCGCGUGUAGCAGUGAAAUGCGUAGAUAUGCGGAGGAACACCGAUGGCGAAGGCAAUCCCCUGGACCUGUACUGACGCUCAUGCACGAAAGCGUGGGGAGCAAACAGG
rnacentral:rRNA from 1 species